UUGAACGCUGGCGGCAUGCCUUACACAUGCAAGUCGAACGGCAGCACGGGUGCUUGCACCUGGUGGCGAGUGGCGAACGGGUGAGUAAUACAUCGGAACAUGUCCUGUAGUGGGGGAUAGCCCGGCGAAAGCCGGAUUAAUACCGCAUACGAUCUACGGAUGAAAGCGGGGGACCUUCGGGCCUCGCGCUAUAGGGUUGGCCGAUGGCUGAUUAGCUAGUUGGUGGGGUAAAGGCCUACCAAGGCGACGAUCAGUAGCUGGUCUGAGAGGACGACCAGCCACACUGGGACUGAGACACGGCCCAGACUCCUACGGGAGGCAGCAGUGGGGAAUUUUGGACAAUGGGCGAAGGCCUGAUCCAGCAAUGCCGCGUGUGUGAAGAAGGCCUUCGGGUUGUAAAGCACUUUUGUCCGGAAAGAAAUCCUUGGCCCUAAUACGGUCGGGGGAUGACGGUACCGGAAGAAUAAGCACCGGCUAACUACGUG
rnacentral:rRNA from 1 species